UACGUAGGGCGCAAGCGUUAUCCGGAAUUACUGGGCGUAAAGAGCUCGUAGGUGGUUUGUCGCGUUGUUCGUGAAAUCUCACGGCUUAACUGUGAGCGUGCGGGCGAUACGGGCAGACUUGAGUACUGCAGGGGAGACUGGAAUUCCUGGUGUAGCGGUGGAAUGCGCAGAUAUCAGGAGGAACACCGGUGGCGAAGGCGGGUCUCUGGGCAGUAACUGACGCUGAGGAGCGAAAGCGUGGGGAGCGAACAGG
rnacentral:rRNA from 1 species